rnacentral:rRNA from 1 species
CAAGUCGAACGGUAACGGGAAGAAGCUUGCUUCUUUGCCGACGAGUGGCGGACGGGGGAGUAAUACUUAGGGAUUUGCCUUUGUGUGGGGGAUAACUAUUGGAAACGAUAGCUAAUACCGCAUAACGUCUUCGGACCAAAGGGGGCGGUCUUUCGGGCUCUCGCGCAAAGAGAAACCUAAGCGAGAUUAGCUUGUUGGUGAGGUAAAGGCUCACCAAGGCGACGAUCUCUAGCUGUUCUGAGAGGAAGAUCAGCCACACUGGGACUGAGAUACGGCCCAGACUCCUACGGGAGGCAGCAGUGGGGAAUAUUGCACAAUGGGGGAAACCCUGAUGCAGCCAUGCCGCGUGUGUGAAGAAGGCCUUCGGGUUGUAAAGCACUUUUCAGUUGUGAGGAAAGCAUAAUGGUUAAUACCCAUUAUGUGUGACGUUAGCAACAGAAGGAGGACCGGGUAACUCCGUGCCAGCAGACGCGGUAAUACGGAGGGUCCGAGCGUUAAUCGGAAUUACUGGGCGUAAAGCGCACGCAGGCGGUUUGUUAAGCUAGAUGUGAAAGCCCCGGGCUCAACCUGGGAAUAGCAUUUAGAACUGGCAGGCUAGAGUCUUGGAGAGGGGUGGCGGAAUUUCCAGUGUAGCGGUGAAAUGCGUAGAGAUUGGAAGGAACAUCAGUGGCGAAGGCGGCCACCUGGACAGAUACUGACGCUGAGGAACGAAAGCGUGGGGAGCGAACAGGAUUAGAUACCCUGGUAGUCCGCGCCGUAAACGAUGUCAAACUAGCCGUUUGUGUCCUUGAGACGUGAAUGGCGCAGCUAACGCACUAAGUUGACCGCCUGGGGAGUACGGCCGCAAGGUUAAAACUCAAAUGAAUUGACGGGGGCCCGCACAAGCGGUGGAGCAUGUGGUUUAAUUCGAUGCAACGCGAAGAACCUUACCAUCCCUUGACAUCCACAGAAGCCAGUAGAGAUACAGGUGUGCCUUCGGGAACUGUGAGACAGGUGCUGCAUGGCUGUCGUCAGCUCGUGUUGUGAAAUGUUGGGUUAAGUCCCGCAACGAGCGCAACCCUUGUCCUUAGUUGCCAGCAAGUUAAGUUGGGCACUUUAAGGAGACUGCCGGUGAUAAACCGGAGGAAGGUGAGGACGACGUCAAGUCAUCAUGGCCCUUACGAGUAGGGCAACACACGUGCUACAAUGGCCGGUACAAAGGGCAGCGAAACCGCGAGGUGGAGCGAAUCCUAAAAAGCCGGUCGUAGUCCGGAUUGGAGUCUGCAACUCGACUCCAUGAAGUUGGAAUCGCUAGUAAUCGUGGAUCAGCAUGCCACGGUGAAUACGUUCCCGGGCCUUGUACACACCGCCCGUCACACCAUGGGAGUG